GGCUCAGUGGUUUAGUGGCAUAAUACUCGCUUAGGAUGCGAGUGGGUCCGGAGUUGAUUCUCCGCUGAGCCC